UCUCCUUUCUGUAGUUGUAAUUUCUGUAAAAAUGCAAUAAGUUGCAGAGAAAGUUAAUGAAAGGAAAGAGGUAGAAUGAAUGUAGAGGCUUGAAAAAGCACAGUGUGUGGUUUUAAAAAGUUAGCACUAACGCACAGUUAUCAAUACUGUCCUUUUCUAAGUAAGAGGAAAUCCACAGUUUUCUCAGCUGUUUCUUUAAAGUAACUGUGAGUAAAUGCUGAUUUUUUUUUUAAUUCAAACCACCCCCACACAGUGUAAAGGAAAACCAAAAGGCUGGAUUAAGAUAAAUGGAAAACUGAACAGGCAUUUUCUACCUGGUAACCUUUCCUUAUACUUCAUGCUAAGAACUUGCAUUUUAAGUCCAGGAAAGAGAAGAAACGAUGUUGGGGUGGGAAGGGGAAGGUCAAAAGAUAAACUGUCAAAGUCUGUAUCAGAUGUAAGUUGCUGCUGUCAAGGUAAUCUCUCAGCUACAAUCUACAAACAAAACCUACCCAUUCUAAACAGAUCCUUGUCGCAUGGAGCUCAGCAUUAUAAAGAGAUUGUAAAGUCGGAAGGGACCACAAUGGAUCAUCGUGUCUGACCCGCUGUCCCUGGCAGGAAAGAGGACCGAGGUCAGAUGACCCCAGCCAGGUGACUAUCUAGCCUCAAUUUAAUCGGGAGGUUGAGGAGAAGAUGGGACCUCAGUUGCUAUAAACCAAGAGUGAGGAAUACCAUAUACCUGCUACAGCUUUUUUGGAAAGAAAAAAUCCUCCUCUAAACAUUACCUCUGCAUGUGGAUGACAGAACCAUAGCACUGAAGCAAGAACGGUGCAGAGGCCAUUCUACAGAGACAGAACAGUGUUAUGGAGGUCAUAUAUCAUUGUGCUACAGUCCUAAAUUGCCUUACUUCCACUAUGAGUUCUGCAUGGAGGACACCUCUGUGCUAGUCUCACUAUGACUAGGUACAGAUUCGUCAGAGAAAGACAAGGGGAAGAAGGAAAAAGCCUACAUAAUAUCAAGGAAUGCUGUAACAACAUUUAUUUUCCUGAUUGAGCAAUCUUCCAAUAACUCAAUCUAGAGUUAUGACAAUAGUCACUGCUUCCUUGGAGGAAACGAAGAUCUGUAUACAUCUGACCUCCAUCACAAAUGGCAGUGAUAUUAGAGUGCAAUUACAGUCAGUUGGCACUUUUUUAGAUAUUUGUUCUUUCUUCUCAGUGCCCAAGCAAGCAGUCUGAAAUGAGGACUUCAAAAAUCUAUUUUUUCCUUUAUUGAAUGGAAAAUGUUGAGUCAUUUAUUUUAAAGAUGCAAUGAAGGUUACUACUCAUGAAAGACAAAACGGUGGCAUGCAGCAGUACUACCCAGCCCCUAAAAAUAGGACUUAACUCACAUAGAAAUACUUACACUUCUGUUGGUUUAAAUUCACUCCAGUCCUUCAGUGUUUUCAUAUGUCUUUUUUUUUUACUAGCUACAUGAUAUAAUGCUGAAGAUUAAUGAUGGAAACGUGAGCCAGAAAUAAUUAUGGUUUAACAUGCAAAAAACUGGCAGGAAGGGCAUGUCAUUUGUACAGUUCAGUCCAUUUAUGUCCAAGUACCCUAUAUAUUACAAUAGAGGAUAAUUUAGCAGUUACUCUUUCAGCACAGAAACAUAUAAAAUACAGCCUCAUCAAUGUGCAAGAUUACCACAUUGGGGCUAAUUACUUCCAAAGUCAUCAGUUAGAUAGGAGACUCCAUCUGGGAACAUUUUGUAAUGAUGCCUCAGGGAGAGGUAAGAUGGGACCUUUACAUUAUAUGAUUUGGAAAGGACUGAGACCUAAUUAAAGCUGAAAAGAUGUAUUACCUGUUGUAAAAAGUACCUUAAAUA